GGACUACUAGGGUUUCUAAUCCUGUUUGCUCCCCACGCUCUCGCGCCUCAGCGUCAGUAUUUGUCCAGGUAGCCGCCUUCGCCACUGGUGUUCCUUCCGAUCUCUACGCAUUUCACCGCUACACCGGAAAUUCCACUACCCUCUACAAUACUCCAGCUAGCCAGUUACAGAUGCAGUUCCUAGGUUAAGCCCAGGGAUUUCACAUCUAUCUUAACUAACCGCCUACGCGCCCUUUACGCCCAGUAACUCCGAUUAACGCUUGCACCCUCUGUAUUACCGCGGCUGCUGGCAC
rnacentral:rRNA from 1 species